rnacentral:snRNA from 1 species
AUACUUACCUGGUGCCGGGGUCACCGUGAUCAGCGAGGCGGUGCCCCCAGGGAGAGGUGCGGGCAUUGCACUGCGCUCGUGCUGACCCUGCCACUACCCCAAACUGGGGCAGAUGGGGCAUGCAAUUUUUGGUAGUGGGGGACUGCGUUCGCGCUAUCCCCCU